rnacentral:rRNA from 1 species
UCGAGAAUCUUCGGCAAUGGACGCAAGUCUGACCGAGCGACGCCGCGUGCGGGAUGAAGGCCUUCGGGUUGUAAACCGCUGUCAGAGGGGAGGAAAUCAACGUGGGUUCUCCCACGUAGUUGACCUAGCCUCAAAGGAAGUACGGGCUAAGUUCGUGCCAGCAGCCGCGGUAAGACGAACCGUACAAACGUUAUUCGGAAUCACUGGGCUUAAAGGGUGCGUAGGCGGCGCGGAAAGUAGGGUGUGAAAUCCCUCGGCUCAACCGAGGAAUAGCGCCCUAAACUACCGUGCUCGAGGGAGAUAGAGGUGAGCGGAACUUAGGGUGGAGCGGUGAAAUGCGUUGAUAUCCUAAGGAACACCGGUGGCGAAAGCGGCUCACUGGAUCUCUUCUGACGCUGAGGCACGAAAGCUAGGGUAGCGAACGGGAUUAGAUACCCCCGUAGUCC